CAAUGCUUAUGUUCUGUAAAAGGGUUGGAUCUGACGCCCCUAGGAGGCUACUAUAAGCUCUCCUUCUCAACUCCUACUCAAUACGUGCACGACGUGCAGAACGGUAACUUGUCGCCUAGAUAUCCUAGCUUGGGUACACGGGGAACCCAACCCCUUGGGCGGAUGGGUGGCAAGCCUUAAUUGAGAGGG
rnacentral:ribozyme from 1 species